rfam:Microgenomates (Woesebacteria) bacterium GW2011_GWA1_41_13b TT42_C0008, whole genome shotgun sequence.
GCCGAAGUGGCGGAACUGGCAGACGCGCAGGGCUUAGGACCCUGUAAGCCUUAAAAACUUGUGGAGGUUCGAGUCCUCUCUUCGGCA